rnacentral:tRNA from 1 species
UCUUGCUGUAGUUCAGUCGGUAGAACGGCGGACUGUUAAUCCGUAUGUCACUGGUUCGAGUCCAGUCAGAGGAGCCA